rnacentral:rRNA from 1 species
UAGGGAAUAUUGCUCAAUGGGGGAAACCCUGAAGCAGCAACGCCGCGUGAGUGAUGAAGGCCUUCGGGUCGUAAAGCUCUGUUGUACGGGAAAAACGUGGAUGCAGCUAACAUCUGCAUCCAGUGAUGGUACUGUAUAAGAAAGGACCGGCUAACUUCGUGCCAGCAGCCGCGGUAAGACGGGGGGUCCUAGCGUUGUUCGGAAUCAUUGGGCGUAAAGCGUGUGCAGGUGGUUUGGUAAGUUGGAUGUGAAAGCCUUGGGCUUAACCCAAGAAGGGCAUUCAAAACUACCAAACUUGAGUAAGGAAGAGGGUCGUGGAAUUCCAGGUGUAGUGGUGAAAUACGUAGAUAUCUGGAGGAACACCGGUGGCGAAGGCGGCGACCUGGUCCUAUACUGACACUCAGACACGAAAGCGUGGGGAUCAAACAG